rnacentral:lncRNA from 1 species
CCCGAUUCACACCCUUAUUUCAAAUUUCAAAGAUGCCUGUGAUAGUUUUGGAACUGAUAAGGUAGGUAUAACCAUCCGAUCUUGAGAAUUUUGAUCGAAAAUCCUACCACAUCAUACCUAAAUCGGCCACAUAAUCUACCUAAAACCAUCUUCCAACCUUUGCCUACAAAACUUCCUCUAGGGGACCCUCUAAGGUACACGCGCAAACAGUCUCUU